rnacentral:piRNA from 1 species
UCCAAAGUAAUAAGAAUGAGACCAAAAAAAA